AACGAACGCUGGCGGCAGGCCUCAAACAUGCAAGUCUAGGGGGCGUAGCAAUACGUCACCGGCGGACGGGUGCGUAACACGUGGGAAUGUACCUUUCGGUACGGAACAACUCAGGGAAACUUGAGCUAAUACCGUAUACGCCCGUAAGGGGAAAGAAUUUCGCCGAAAGAUCAGCCCGCGUCCGAUUAGCUAGUUGGUGAGGUAAAGGCUCACCAAGGCGACGAUCGGUAGCUGUUCUGAGAGGAAGAUCAGCCACACUGGGACUGAGAC
rnacentral:rRNA from 1 species